GUCUGACGUGGCUUCUGAUUGAGUGCAGGAAGCUCCUGCAGCCAAUCGGAAGCCACACCUUGGUUUUUGAAUGGUUUCAGGAAUCGAACGGAGUCCCGGAAUGGAUUAUGUUCGAGAACCAAGGUACUUACCUUUUCCUGCUCACCUCAUGCUGUAUGUGACAGGUGUACAGUCACAUCUCGUGUUGUGUUUGCUUCAGGUUGAGCGUUUUCAGGUUGCGUCCCGCGAUGACCCGGAAGUACCAGAAAGGGUUACUUCCGGGUUUCGCCGCUCGCGCAUGCGCAGAUGCUCAAAAUGACGUCAAGCGCAUGCACAGAAGUGGCAAAUUGCGACCCGCGCAUGCACAGAUGUGCAAACGCAGGUUGCGUUCUGCUCAUAGAAUCAUAGAAUCAUAGAGUUGGAAGAGACCACAAGGGCCAUCGAGUCCAACCCCCUGCCAAGUUCGCAAUCCCAUUCGCAACCAGAGGUACCACUGUCUGUUGUUUUAGACUGGAAGCUAAACAGAGCGUGCUGAAGGCCAGACAGAGGGGUCUGGACCAUUUCGACUCCCAAGCCUGAGGUUUGCCCACCCCAGUAUAAAGGGCCGUGCAGAUAAUGUGAUGCAAAGGAUAUUGAACUUUCAGCAAAACACCGUGAUUCAUUAACCAACCCUGGCGCUUCAGAAAUGCAGUGCUAAAUUUCUAAAUGUGCAUUCCUGUGCCGAGAAGUGUGACAUGUCCCUCUGCUAGACUGGCUUCCCGAAUCCCCUUGACCCUUACCCUCGCAUUUCUAACCUCCUCACCUUUGCUGUGAUAAACGUCAAGGGCUAAGCUCCUUACUGCCUGCUGUGGAACCCGGCACAUACUUGCACAUGGCUCCCCAAAUCAACACAGACUGUGGAAACUUCACACUGGACUUCAAGCAUCUGGUAUUGUGUGCCUCCCCAUUCUUCCUCCAGACUCUGGGGCCUUGGUUUCCAAAUGAGAUGCAAAAGCUGCUCUCAUCAGAAAAGAGAUUUGGGGAGCCAUGUCAUCAGCUGGUGUUGGUCCACUGUGCUUCAUUAAGUCCAGGGUCCACGCAGCUGUCUACCAGGAGAUUUUGGAGCACUUCAUGCUUCCUUCCGCAGACGAGCUUUAUAGGGAUGCUGACUUCAUUUUCCAGCAGGACUUUGGCAUCUGCCCACACUGCCCAAAGUAUCAAAACCUGGUUCAAUGCCCAUGGGAUUACGGUGCUUGACUGGCCAGCAAACUUGCCUGACCUGAACCCCAUGGAGAAUCUAUGGGGCAUUGCCAAGAGACAGAUGAGAGACAUGAGACCAAGCAAUGCAGAAGAGCUAAAGGCUGCUACUGAAGCUUCUUGGUCUUCCAUAACACCUCAGCAGUGCCACAGGCUGAUAGCAUCCAUGCCACGCCGCAUUGAGGCAGUAAUUGAUGCAAAAGGGCCCCAAACUAAGUACUGAGUACAUAUGCAUGCUUCUACUUCUCAGAGGUCCAAUAUUGCUCUAUUUGCAGUCCUUGUUUUGCUGAUUUCAUUUAAUAUUCUAAUUUUCUGAGAUUGUUAUUUUGGGGUUUUCAUCAGCUGUACGCCAUGAUCAUCACAAUGAUAACAAAUAAAGGCUUGACAUAUCUCGCUUUGCAUGUCAUGAGUCUGUCUCAUAUAUUAGUUUCACCUUUUAAGUUGAAUUACUGAAAUAAAUGAACUUUUCCACAAUAUUCUAAUUUUCCGAGUUUCACCUGUAAAAUGAUGAUGAUGAUGAUGACUUUGCCCUUUCCUUUUUACCAGUCUCCUGCUCAUCGCUGACCAAAGCAGGACUUGCUGUCUGUCUGCACGGACAGCAAGCCUUACUUGCCAGGGAACAACCAGAAAUGCACUUUAAGGCUCCAUAUUGUUGCUUUGCAGUCACAUUUUUACCUUUACCGGCCCACCUGAAGUCACAUAGGAGAGGUGGGUGUGGUUUUGGAAAAAUGGCCUCGUGGGCCAAAUUAGAAGCUCUGCUGGGCCUAAUUUGGCUUGCAGGCCGGAAGUUCCCCACCCCUGCCUUAAGAGUAGUUUUUACCAACUGGUUGCCUUCCGGCUGGUUUGGACCACAACUCCCAUCACUCCUGGCCAGCAUGGCUGUGCUGUCAUCAGCCCUAGGGAAAUACAGCUGGGGAGCCGUGGUUCAAAACAUCUGGAGGGCACCAGGUUGGGGAAGGCUGGCACAACCCUUUCAAAUGGGACCUUCUGCUUCCUAGGAAUGGAAUCUAGAAUCCUAAGCCACAGUCUAGAGAAGAGCUUUCCAAACUUUCCAUACUGGUGACACACUUUUUAGACAUGCAUCAUUUUGCGACACAUUUUGCAGGUGGUGCUGUGGGUUAAACCACAGAGCCUAGGGCUUGCCGAUCAGAAGGUCAGCAGUUCGAAUCCCCACGUCGGGGUGAGCUCCCGUUACUCGGUCCCUGCUCCUGCCAACCUAGCAGUUCAAAAGCACGCCAAAAAGUGCAAGUAGAUAAAUAGGUACCGCUCCGGCGGGAAGGUAGACGGUGUUUCCGUGCGCUGCUCUGGUUCGCCAGAAGCGGCUUAGUCAUGCUGGCCACAUGUCCCAGAAGCUGUACGCCAGCUCCCUCGGCCAAUAAAGCGAGAUGAGUGCCGCAACCCCAGAGUCGGUCACGACUGGACCUAAUGGUCAGGGGUCCCUUUACCUUUUAAUGUAGUUUUACUAGCAAACCGGAGGUUAAACUAACCCCUUUCCAGCCCCGGAUGGAGCGCAGGAAGCGUUGGCACAACACGAAUACACACCGCCACCAAUACACUAAUGUGUCAGGAGUGGACACACAGUUUGGAAAGCUCUGCUCUAGUGUCAAGAAUCAGCCAAGGUAAGAUUAAUUUGAUUUGGGUGACGUCUAGUGGUCAGAAUGUGAACAUCAGCAAAGGGGGGGGGGGAACAAUUUUCACAAAUGGGUAGAGAGGGAGUGAUAUCUUUGCAACUCUUUCCACCUGAGAGAGGAAGAACAGGAACAGCUAUCUCCAAUUGAGAUAUUCACUCUUGAUUAGGAAUGUCACCUUCGGAUAAAAGGCUGUUAAGACCAGGGGUACAUGGGGCUGCCCUUGAAGACGACGUGGAUAACAAUAACAACAACAACAACUUAUUACUGUAUUUAUACCUGAAAUAUACUCGGAGUCCUGCAGUGAUUUCAUGCUCUUUAUUGCAGCUUGCAAAACAGUGAUUGAAUUUCCCCCCAAACCUCAGGCCUUUAUAUACAUUAUUUACACAAUGAGUCCCAUCUGAUUGGCUGGUUCUGCUUCCCUCCUGAAGCCUGAUUGGUCUUCUCCUGCAAGCCAAUCAGUUGUUGCAUUCUAGGAUCCUACCUGCCUAUUGUUCUAGGAUCCAAGCUUAGUACAUAACAAUACCCCACCCAUCUGGCUGGGUUUCCCAAGCCACUCUGGGCAGCUUACAUAAAAAAUGGUAAAACAUCAGACAUUGAAAACUUCCCGAUACAGGGCUGCCUUCAGAUGGCUUCUAAAAGUCAGAUAGUUGUUUAUCUCCUUGACAUCUGAUGGGAGGGUGUUCCACAGGGCAGGCGCCACUACCGAGAAGGCCCUCUGCCUGGUUCCCUGCAACCUCACUUCUCGCAGUGAGAGAACCACCAGAAGGCCCUUGGAGCUGGACCUCAGUGUCAGGGCUGAAUGAUGGGUGGUGGAGACGCUCCUCCAGGUAUACUGGGCUGAGGCAGAAACAUCAUUUGGUCCAAAAUGCACCAGCCAGAUUACUGGCUGGGGUUCCAUUUAGACCUCCUGUUUUAAAACUGCUGGUCUGGUUGCCAGUUCAUUUCUGGACCCAGUUCAAGGUGCUCAACAUUGGUGUUUGAAGCCCUAAAUGACCCAGGUCCCAAAUAUCUGAAAGGCCACCUGCUUUCCUACAGACCCUCUUGGGUGCUGAGAUCAGUAGACUGAGGCCUCUUGGUUGUCCCUCCACGCACAGAUAAUCUGGGUGGGUGAGGGUAGCAGCCUGAGACAGGACCUUCUCUGUGGUGGCCCCUAAGCUGUGGAACCCCCCUCCCCACAGAGCUGAAUCUAAUACCUUCUGGUGAAUACCUUUUACCCUGCAUUUUGACACUUGAGGCAUAUAUUUUCAGGAUCCACCUUUUUAUGAUUGUAAGCUGUUUUAAUAUUUGUUGUGUUUUAUUGUUGUAACCCACCCUGGUACCUUAGGGGGAAGGACGGGUAAUUAAAUAAGAAUAAGAGUAAUAUUUUUCUGGGGGGGCUAAUUUCAUAUUAUAACUAUAUACUGCAUGAAGAAGUCCUUUCUUUUGUCUUUCCUGAAUUUUCCAAUGUUCAGCCUCGUUGGCUGACCGUGAGUUCUGGUGAGAAAAGUUUUCUUUUCUGUAUUUGCUUUAUCCAUGACCAUUCAUUGCAAUUUUUGUUUACUUACAGCAGCAUUUCCUCCUCCCUGGUGUGGAGACCAAGUUGAUUCCUGAGGAAGGGAUUUUGCAAUAUUGGGUGGGGGAUUUUUGGGGGCAACAUUUAGCCAUCUUAAGCAGGGCCGGAUUUAGGUUUGAUGAGGCCCUUAGCUACUGAAGGUAAUAGGGGCCUUUAUAUGUCCAGCUGUCCUUUGUCAACAACAAAUUGUCGCUGUUUUUCAUGUUGAAUAUAUGCUAUAUGGUAAUUUAUGGACCUAAUAGGUAUCUAAAGCCCUUUGCACAUGUUGGCAUGCAACCAGUCCAUGCAGAAUGUAGGCACCCUAUAUAUAGAAAUGAGCAAAACAGUGAUAUAUUAGGGAGCAGGCUAGCAGGUGGGUCCCAUUACUUACCGUAUUUUUUGCUCUAUAAGACUCACUUUUUCCUUCCUAAAAAGUAAGGGGAAAUGUGUGUGCGUCUUAUGGAGCGAAUGCAGGCUGCGCAGCUAUCACAGAAGCCAGAACAGCAAGAGGAAUUGCUGCUUUCACUGCGCAGCGAUCCCUCUUGCUGUUCUGGCUUCUGAGAUUCAGAAUAUUUUUUUUCUUGUUUUCCUCCUCCAAAAACUAGGUGCGUCUUGUGGUCUGGUGCAUCUUAUAGAAUGAAAAAUAUGGUACAUCAUAGGAGCCUAUACAACACAAAACACUGUUGCUGUAUGUAGGUUUUGUUUUAUUUAUUUUUUAUCGUAUAUUUUGGAAAUAUACAUCCAGUUUCUUUUCCUUUAAUUUUUUUGGGGGCCCCCAAGAGAGUGGGGCCCUAAGCUAUAGCUUGUUUAGCUUAUACGUAAACCCGGCACUGAUCUUAAGCCAGGGAUGGUUGGGCAGAAGGCGGAUGAUUUUGUGCUGUGACAUCAGCAAUGCAUCUCCUAAGCCAAAACCCGAUUCCUCUUUCUGCAUCCACAGCACCUUUCCCAGAAAAUCCCCAGCUAAGUUUCAGACAACUAUAUUAUGGAUAUCUUGGGAAUCAAUCACAGUUUCUCCUUCUCUUAAAAAAAUAAAAAGAAGAAUUUUGAUUCUAGACUGAUCUGCUGCUGCAAGAGGCUUCAAGACUUGAGUAGGAGAAGGUUUGGGAAGGGAGGAGAGGCAUCCUCACCAUACAUAUUUCAUAGGCUGUUUGCUCUCAGCCUGACGCGGCAGAAACCUGCCUCCCUCCCCCCCCCCCCCAAAAACAAGCAAUGUCUGGCAGAUGGUGAGAAGUUCCAGGAAUCCCACCUGGGAGAAGGAGAUGGAUGAGGCAGAAAUGCCUCCCUUUGCAUUUCAGCAGAAAUGUCAAGCAUGCCUGGAAAGUACAGUGGUACCUUGGUUCUCAAACGCCUUGGUACUCAAUCACCUUGGUUUCCAAACACUGAAAACCCGGAAGUAAGUGUUCCAGUUUCCGAACGUUUUUCGGAAGCCGAAUGUGACUGUCAGCUAUUGUUUCCAGGGCACCUGCACCAAUCAGAAGCCGCGCCUUGGUUUUUGAACAUUUGGAAUGGAUUAAGUUUGGUGUUUUUGUUUUUGCUAUUUAUUUUGUGUGAACCCAGUUCAGCUACUGAUGGACUGAUUGUGUGAUUGUGGAGAUGGAUAAAAGCCCCCCCAUCCAAACAAUGACUGUCAUCAGCGCAGGUAAGAAAAUUUUUUACUUUUAAUUUUUAGCAUCUACAAUACUGUCUUAUUUAUUUUAUAGUACAGUACAUCGAUUAUUGCUUUCAUUUUAUGGGUCAACAAUCUCGUUAGAUAGUAAAACUCACAUUAAAUUGAUGUUUUAGGGGUUGUUUUUAAAAGUCUGGAACAGAUUAAUCCGUUUUGCAUUGCUUUCUAUGGGCAAGCACACCUUAGUUUUGGAACGCUUUGGUUUUGGAACGGACCUCCGGCAGGGAUUAUGUUUGAGAACCAAGGUACCACUGUAUGUGCAUGCGCUCUCUCUGUCUCUCUCUGUCUCUCUCUCUCACACACAGUGCGACUGCAUUUGGAAUGAUGUGCACAGUUCUGGUUGCCUCACCUCCAAAAGGAUAUUGAAGAAAAGGUUAAGAAAAGGGUAACCGGGGCAGAGGUGACAAAUCUACUGCCCCACAGGUCAGAUCAGCCCCCCAAAGCCAUUCCUAGCAGCCCAUCAGCUCCCAUCUUCGAAGCCACUCGCACGCUACAUUUAAACUGCGGGACUUGACAUCUUUCUGCAGGGCCUGCAAGACAGAGCUGUUCUACCUGGCCUUCGGUUUAGACUCAGUCUGACCCUUAUGUUUCCCUCCCCUUCAUGGUUUUGAUCUAUGGGCUACUUUUAAAAUGAGGCUGCAUUUUAAAUUGCAUUGUAACCUGUAUUUUAAAUUGUUUUGUUUCCUUGUUAUGUUUUUACUUUAAUUUAGUGGUGUUAGCCACCCUGAGCUUGGCUCUGGCUGGGGAGGGCAGGGUAUAAAUAAAAUUUACUAUUAUUAUUAUUACAGUGGUACCUCGGGUUACAUACGCUUCAGGUUACAUAAGCUUCAGGUUACAGACUCCGCUAACCAAAAAAUAGUGCUUCAGGUUAAGAACUUUGCUUCAGGAUGAGAACAGAAAUCAUGCUCUGGUGGCACAGCAGCAGCAGGAGGCCCCAUUAGCUAAAGCGGUGCUUCAGGUUAAGAACAGUUUCAGGUUAAGAACGGACCUCUGGAAUGAAUUAAGUACUUAACCUGAGGUACUACUGUAUUAUUAAAGCACUAUCAUGCCACUUUUAACAGUCACAGCUUUCCCCAAAGGAUCCUGGGAGCUGUAGUUUGUUAAGUGUGCUGAAAGUUGUUAAUGGAUCCCCUCUUUCCUUCCUAGAGCUACAAUUCCCCGUGAUCCCUGGGAAGAGGGGUCGAUUGUUUAAACCACUGUGGGGGAGAGACAAAUGCCAUUUAAGAAGGAUGCUAAAGAUUGGUAAUGUCAUUCAGGAAUAUCACCAGCAGGUGGCAGCAUUGGAACAACUAUAAAAAAUCCAUUUUAUUUUUACAAAUAGUGGGUGGGUGGCUGGGGUGGGGGGCGUUGUAAGGUGUAUUUUUUCCCUUAGAAAAAGAUCCUAUCUUUGUACUUGUCUCUCCCCCUGUCCCUCAUGCCUCCGCUUCCAGCUUUACACUAGUUUCUCUGUACAUUGCAUAUAUUAUAGCAUGUUCUCUUCUGAUGUCCCCAAUUUCUAACCACCUCCCUCUCCCGCUGUUACUUGUUAGGAUACCCCCUAGUCCCCCCCAAGAGCUACAAUUCUCAUAGUUACCUGUGAAGAGGCAACCACUAUAACCACUAUACCAUAAAGGUAAAGGUAAAGGUACCCCUGACCAUUAGGUCCAGUCGUGACCGACUCUGGGGUUGUGGCGUUCAUCUCGCUUUAUUGGCUGAGGGAGCCGGCGUACAGCUUCUGGGUCAUGUGGCCAGCAUGACUAAGCCGCUUCUGGCGAACCAGAGCAGCGCACGGAAACGCCGUUUACCUUCCCGCUGGAGCGGUCCCUAUUUAUCUACUUGCACUUUGACGUGCUUUCGAACUGCUAGGUUGGCAGGAGCAGGGACCGAGCAGCGGGAGCUCACCUCGUCACGGGGAUUCGAACCGCCGACCUUCUGAUCGGCAAGUCCUAGGCUCCGUGGUUUAACCCACAGUGCCACCCGCGUCCCUUCCAGGGAGGGAACAGGUCCCGUAACAACAUCCAGUUCCCUUAACAUACUACAGCUCCCAGUAUUUUUUGAAUCAUACUCCUUUAAAUGUAUGGUGUGAAUGUGGCCUCUGUUAUAGGAAUUUUAAGGUCUUAUAUAUAUAUAAAAAAUAAAUGUUCAUAAAUGUACAAGGCGAACACAUACAUAAGUAUAUAAACCACGUGUCUGAAAUAGUACAGGAGAGCAAUCCUGAAGCCAUUUUGACUCUCCCAAAUUGACCUCAAAUAUUUCUCUGCAAGGAGGAAGGAAAUAGGAAAAGCUUUCCAAUUGUCUUUGGACUGGAGGGGCUUACACCUCCCUGCAAAAACAGUCUGGCAAGUAUUUGUUAAACUAUCAAUAGGUGUAAGAGAUGCAGGAAUGAAAGUGUUUAUCAUCUCAAAGGAAUGGCCAGGCUACCCUGAAAAUGCAGUCAAGCAAGGCAUUAUUCUGGCAGACAGGAGAGAAGCAACACACUCAAAUUUCUGCUGGGGACCGCCUCCUUGUGUGAUAUAUGUAUGAUGUUUCGGGGAGUGGUCUUUAGCUACAGGCAAUUUCAAACGUUUAUAUAAAAGCUUGGACACCACUGUUCUGGGUUCCUCCUCUCUCCUGCGUGUGGUGAGUGGGGACCCUGUUGCAACAGUUUAAUAAAGAUCAGGCUUACUAGCUGCUUUGCUUCUCAAUAUUCUCUGGUUGGCCUCUGUUAUUUUCUCCUAUAGAAAACCUACAUAAGGAUGCUAUACGGGCUUUUGGGUACCCCAUAAGGGAUAAAGGAACUGUUUUUUCUUAUAACAGCCUCAUAUUUCAACCUGAUAACAGCCUGAUAUUUCAACAUUACCACAACAGGCAAACCUUUACCAGGGAGAAUGGCUAAUCGCUGCAUUCCCAUCCCUGGUAAUCAUAGAACUGUAGAACUGAAAGGGCACCCCAAGGGUCAUCUAGUCCAACCCCCUGUAAUGCAGGAAUCACAGCAAAAGAAUCCCGGACAGGUGUCCAACCAACCUCUGCUUAAAAACUUCCAAGGAACGAAAAGUCAUUACCUUCAUAAAAUGGAACAUACUCCCUUGGAAGCUCUCCUUCCUUGGGAGGACUUCCAACAGAGGUCUGAUGGCCACCUGCCAGGGAUUCUUCAGCUGUAAUAACAAUAAUAAUAAUAAUAAUAGUAAUAAUAAUAAUACUAAUAAUAAUUUAUUAUUUAUACCCUGCCCAUUUGGCUGGGUUUCCCCGCCACUCUGGGCUGCUCCCAACAGAAUAUUAAAAUACAAUAGUCUAUUAAACAUUAAAAGCUUCCCUAAACAGGGCUGCCUUCAGAUGUCUUCUAAAAGUCUGGCAGUUGUUUUUCUCUUUGACAACUGGUGGGAGGGCGUUCCACAGGGCAGGUGCCACUACCGAGAAGGCCCUCUGACUAGUUCCUUGUAACCUCACUUCUUAUAGGGAGGGAAUCGCCAGAAGGCGCUUGGCACUGGAACUCAGUAUGUGGGCUGAACUAUGGGGGUGGAGACGCUCCUUCAGGUAUACUGGGCUGAGGCCGUUUAGGGCUUUCAAGGUCAGCACCAACACUUUGAAUUGUGCUCAGAAACGUACUGGGAGCCAAUGUCGGUCUUUCAAGACCAGUGUUAUGUGGUCUCGGUGGCUGCUACCAGGCUAGCUCAUUCGGAGGGGUUGGAGUAGAUGACCCCUGGGAUCCCUUCCAACUCAAUGAUUCUGUGAUUACCAGGAAUCUGUGUGCAGACCACAGGCCUCACCCCCCAGCUCCAAAACUCUUGACAUUCUCUUUCCGUGCCUCCCCUCAUGUAGCAGGUGGGCCUGGAGUCUGGGCAGACAACCUGUCUUGCUGCAGCCCAGCCGGUGAGGCUUCCCCCUGCCCGCCAAAGGAAAUGCCUGCAAAUCUAUAAAUAAGCAAUUAGCGCUUCUUCUCCCAUCAAGAGGGGCAUGCGGUGGGAAUGCGGGCGCUCCCCCCCCCGCUAAAGAUCCUCGCUGGCGGAACAGACAGCUGCAUCUGUGCAGCGUUUCGCAGCCGCUUAAUAUUCCCCAACAAAAGUCCUUCCACAAUGAAAACUUUAAUUGCAUUAAUCUUCCAAUGGCUGCACAUUUCCAACCUCCCUCCCAACCCAAAUCCACAUCUCUGCUUCUCUUCCCCUGACAACCCGUUAAACUGAAUCUCCCUGCUAAUCGCAGCUGCCAAAGCACAAUAACGAUCUCGCGCUGGACGUGCGUUUGCUAAUUAGACAAGCGUGGAAAAAUAGCUGCUGGCGGAUGAGAGUGAGGGCCUUUCAUCUUGGAAGAGGGCCAGCUGUCACCCUUCCACUACGUGACGUCCGGCUUCAGGAAAACCGCCUUGUAUGCAGUCAGAUCAAUGGUCUCUCUAGGCUCAGGGCUCAUCCACACUUAGCUUCCGGCAAUUUCUUGGCACAGAUCCAUACUUUAAAGCUCUGCAUCUGAGCGCUUCCCCCUCACUGCUUUCUGCAGGAAAACCUGCUCUUUAAAGCUGAUUUGGAACCAACGGCUGUUUGGGUUUUCUGCAGAAUGCUGUUGUAAUAAACAGAAAUCUGCCCUUUUCCCUCAUGGGGUAUCCAAGAGCCCAUAUAGAGUCCUUACAUAGGUUCCCUAUUGGUAGGAGAAAAUAACAGAGGCCAACCAGAGAAUAUCGAGAAGCAAAGCAGCUAGCAAGCCUGAUCUUUAUUGAUCCGUUGUAACAGGGUGCUCCCCUCACACGCAGGAAAGGAGGAGGACCCAGAACCCAGGUGUGUCUGCCCUUAUAUAGACAUUUUAAACUGCCCGCCCUGGAGUUCAAGACCACCCCCAGAAACAUCAUACAUCCAUCACAGAAGGGGCGGUCUACAGCAGAAAUCUGAGUGCGCUGUUUAUCUCCUGUUGUUGUUUAUCUCCUCUCUGGCAGGUUACCCGUUAAUGCUUCCUUGAUUGGAUACCCCGGGGAGCCUGGCCAGUCUUUUGUCAUGAUAAAUACUUAGUUCCUGAGCCAGGUCACAGGCUCACACCCUAUUCAUAUCUUAAAUGUGCCCUUAAGACAGGAUUUGUGAAGGAAAAGACAAUGGGGAGGCUUUUCCAUUUUCCUUUGACCUUGCAGAGAAAACAUUUGGUCAGUUUGGGAAUCAAAAAUGGUUUCAGGUUGAUCUUCCUGUGCUGAUCUAUGUACGUGCUUGGUUGGUACAUUUAUGAACAUUUAUUAUUCAUCUAAGACCUUAAAAUUCUUAUCACACUCUUUGCUCCGAUUCAGCUGCAAAGAGCGGGAUUUGCAGAAAGCAGUAGGGGGGGAAAGCCUUUGGAUACAGUGCUUUAAAGGGCAAACCUGUGCUUAGAAAUGUGGCACAAGGUGGUAGAGAUGUACACUAGUAAAAGCUUUCUGGGAAAUGAUCUACAAUGAAUGAAAGAAAAUGUUUAAAAAUACAUUUGUUAAGAAACCAGAAGCGUUUUUGUUAGGUAUAAUAGGUGAAGAGGUACCAAGAGAAGAUAAAAGACUUUUUAUGUCUGCAACGACGGCAGUGAGAAUGCUACUAGCCCAGAGAUGGAAGGAAGGAAGAAGUACCAACAAAAGAAGAAUGAAACUGAUGGAGUGUGCAGAGAUGGUGAAACUGACGGGGAAGAUCAGAAACCAGGAAGAUCAAGUACAGUCAUACCUCAUGUUACGUUUGCUUCAUGUUACACUUUUUCAGGUUGUGUCCCGCAGUGACCUGGAAGUAUCGGAAAGGGCUACUUCUGGGUUUCACUGCUUGCGCAUGUGCACAAGUGCAAAAUCUCACUUCGUGCAUACGCACAAGCGCCAAAUUGUGCGGCACACCUGCGCAGAUAUGGUGCUUCAGGUUGCAGGCUUUUCAUGUUGCGAACAAGCCUCCGGAACGGACCCCGUUCGCAACCAGAGGUAGUACUGAGUUGUUAAAAGACUGGAGUCAAUUUUUAAUUUAUUUAAAAGACCACUGUAAACAGUUAAAAUCCUUGGCAGGGAUGUAAUGACACUUGUAACGUGAAAUAACUAUGGUAAUUAUGGAUAUAUAUAUAUAUAUAUAUAUAUAUACACACAUAUAUAUAUCAGAUGGAUAACGGUAAAAGAUGCAGAAAAUUUAAUCAUAAAUAUGGAACCCAUGGGGGGGGGAGGGAAGGAGGUCCGAAGCCUCAAAAGAACCUUUUAUUUUAAUGUUUGAAAUAGUUAAAGUUAAAAUGUAUAAAAUUGUGUAAAACCAAUAAUUUUUUAUUUUAUUUUAAAUAGAAACGUGGCACAAAGAGGAAGUCUGGAUGAGCCCUCAGUGCUGCCUACAAUGACUGGCAGUGGGUCACAUGAGAACUGAAGAGGAGUGUUAUGUACUGAAGUUCUCACCCUGGGCCAGCAGGGGGAUACUGUAGAUAGUUCAGGUCCACAUAUGCAAAUAAGGGAUCGAAAGUGAUGUUCAGUGAUUGGAUGGUUACAGAAAGCUGUUACAGUUACGUUGUACUGGAGCUCUAUAUAAGCAGGCUGGCUGAGCUCUUCAGUUCAGUUCUGUUCUGGCCUGUGAAUAAACAAGAGCUGUUUGGAGAAUCGCUGUGUCGUCUGAUAUGUUCACCCACAACUUAACAAGGAGC